GAAUCAGUAUGUGUCUGUUGGGUGUCGUCUGCUCAUUCCACCCAACUCAAUGAACUCGUUCUCCACAUUCAGGAGUUUACACUGAACACAAGUGGUGUCUGUGUUAAAGUAAACUGUAUAUUUAGCUUCAGUGAAAAAAACCCUGAUAAUCUCAUCCAGAAGCCCUUGAUAGACAGCUGGUUAGAAGGACAGUCGUAUGAUCUUUCCACACCUUGAGUGCUGUACUUUACGAGACAUGUAUAACGGAUAACAAGAUCACAUAAUUGGGUUGUUGAGAGCAGGGACUGGUGUUUGCUCGCCGAUACAAAACUGCUCGCCUAAGCUAGAUAGCUGACCUUGUAUCACCCCUCAUCUUUAUCUUCUCAAGGAAUAUCGCAACAGCCUUCAAACCGUGAACUGAUGAUGUCUGACAAGGGUUCCCCUCGGAAGGACGCACCUCUAGGUAGGAGAGACCCUGUAUACCGGAAGCUGCGUGAAGUACAUGACCUUGCAGAGGAGAAGAACAUCGACGAAGCUAUCACAAAGGAACUGGGGGGAGGCAAUCGGAAUAGCCGAACGACGUGAGCUGUACAUUGACAAGCACUGUUCCAUUGAAAGCGAUACAUUGAGGGAGAUCAGGAUUUUCACCCAGCAGAAGGACUGGACCGAGCCUGAGAAACAGGGACUCUGUGGGAGGAUGGGGCCCGGGAUGAUGACGGGGAAGGUGGAAGGCGAAUUCCUCAAAUUUCUGGUAAGCAUGCAACAGGCUAAGCGUAUCCUGGAUGUUGGCAUGUUUACCGGGUACAGCGCCCUGGCCAUGGCGGAAGCUAUUCCACCAGAGGGCGUGGUGAUCACGUGCGACACUGAGCAGUACCUGGAGCAAAUCAACCGUAAAAAAGUUGGACGAGUCUCCUCAUGGGCAAAAGAUCGACAUCAGAAUAGGUCAUGCCAAGAACACGAUGCUUAGUCUGGCAGAUGAGGGACAAAAGUUUGAUUUCAUAUUUGUGGACGCGGACAAAGAUUCCUACGUUGACUACUACAACGUCAUCAUGGAUCAAGGUUUGCUGGCUGCGAAUGGCACGGUUGCCUUUGACAACGCUUUCCGUGGAGGGAGAUCCUACAUGACUGAAGGUGGCCCAACUGACGCCCUGAACAGACUAGUUGAGAAGGACCCACGGGUCAGAAGGGUCCUAGUGCCCAUCCGUGACGGUGUGCUGCUGGUCCGCCGUGCCGAGGAGACCCUACUCUAGGGGACGUCGCUGUCUGUACCAUUUGGGGGAAAAGGGUCAGCUCUUUAGUAAUUUACGUAUAUAUCAAAGGAAGAAAGUUUUAUUCCAUACAGAAUUUCUUUUGUACGGAUUUAACCUUGUUGUAUGUUGAAAAUGUUGUCUUAAUAAACAUCGUAAUUGUU